rnacentral:SRP_RNA from 1 species
GCCGGGCGUGAUGGCUCAUGCCUGUAAUCCAAGCACUUUGGAGGCCAAGGCAGGCGGAUCACCUGAGGUUGGGAGUUCAAGACCAGCCUGAUCAACAUGGUGAAACCCCGUCUUUAUAUAUAUAUAUUUUUUAAUUUAAAAUUUUUUUUAAAAAGACGGGGUUUCACCGUAUUGGUCAGGCUUGUCUUGAACUCCCAACCUCAGGUGAUCCUCCUGCCUU